AAAAAUCAUUCAACAACAUCUUGCCGUGUAGUUACUGAGUACUUAUAAUCAUUAUUUUCGUUGCUUCGAAAAUAACCUGAAUUUUAUUAUGGAACGUAAAAACUAUCAACGGUGUAUGGUACCUCAUUGUAUCAAUACUUCGGUAACCACACCUAAAAAUAUUUAUUAAUGUGCCGAGAAAUGCUGAAUUGGCUUAAGUUGGUUGCGACUUGUGAGACAUGAUGCUUCUCAAAUAUCAACAAGUUCACCGAUUUAUUUUUUGCGAAGAUCACUUUGAUCUGCCUAAUGAUAUGGAAAAUUACACACAAUAUAAAAUUAUGGGUUCAGUAAAAAAUCAGAAUGAAAACUGGCUGUCUCCCUCAAAAUUCAUUUGUGGAACUGAUAAAAAAGAUCAGCAAGUCCUUCACCACCACAUGUUAAUAAGUGUCGCAAAUUGAAUAUAAUAAAGGAAACUGAUGAGUCUACAUUAGUGAUUCCAGCAGUUAAUGUUACUACACCAUUUGAUGUAUCGAUGCAAGCUUCAUCUAAUACAUUAGAUAAUUGUAGUUCUAAAGAAAAGCUGUCCAGAGGUGCCUCAUUGCAAAACAACACAAAGCUGUCCAAGCAUAUGUACAAACUAAAUUUGUUCGAAGUAAAAAUACACAAACUAUUUUCAAGGUACGAGACGCACAAACAUCACCUAAAGUAUGUGCUGUUUCCAUAGCGUUAUCACCAUUUAAAAUUGAAAAAGUGUACAAAGAAAGGCCAUCAACAUCGGGAUACUCUAAAAAAAUAUUUAUUCAAGAAGAGAAG